rnacentral:lncRNA from 1 species
CAAGAAACAAGUCUGAGGGCCAAGAAAAGGACCAGUGACAUGAUGUGGAAAGCACACAGAGUUCAGGGACGGCUGCCCUCUGCCCAGCCUCUGCCCAGCCUCUGCCCUUGGUCCCUGUGGCCCUAGGUGAGUCUCUUUGCCUUCCACAGUUUCCUUAUCUGCAAAAGAGAGGAAAGGCAGACACUCCCCAAGGUUGCUGAGAGGAGAAAUGUCGUGAAGGGUAUAAAGCAUCUGCCGCACUGCUAGACCCCUCACUGAUGUCUCAAGAGAUGUGGUCUCUUCCUCUGGUUCUAGAAGGUGCCUGUGGGUGUCGGGUAUCUCCCAGUUCAGCCUGCAGAGCCCAAGACCAGCUCACCUCCUUCCCUCCCUGCCUCGCCCCCAGUCCCAUCUGUGGCUUCCCUCACCACCAAGCUCAGCUCCUUGCCCACAGCUGGCAGAGGCCCCGAGUGGCCAGGUGAGUGUGGUCAGCCACAGACAUGACCACCCCAGAGCCCAGACCAGAGUGGCAGGGCCUGGAUCCACACCGAGGUCCCAGGCCUCCAAGCCCAGGAUGCCUGUCACGAAACAGCAGACCCCUGCAUGACAGGCUCACUGGCUCAUUGCCCACCCAUUAUCCAGCCAACCUCCUUCUGUCCCCAGGUGAAAACAGGGAAACAAAAGGACACGCUGGGUUGGGAGGGGACACAUUCCUCGCUUCCAGAGGAGCUCCAGACCCACAAAAAAUCAAGCUCAGCCUCCAGAGGACAAACCGUUUCAGGAUUACGGGGAGGGGGUACCCUUCCCACCAGAUUAACUUCCCCUCUCCAUUCCUGGUACAGCCAAGUAUCCAGGACCAAGGCAACCCUCAGAUGGACAGGUGGCCCGCCCCAAGGUGUAAGGGUCGGGUAGGUUGGCCGACGGGUAUCUGAUGGAGUUGCCCCUUCUUGCAGCACCCCACUGCCAACACCAAAGACACGGAGCGCUCCCCUGAUACCCACCCAGACAGCACAAGGGCAAGAGCUGGGAGCAGCAGCUGCUGCCCAGGAGGGGCUGUCCCCCAGGCUUUGGCAGGGGUGGGAUCAGAGGAGGAGGCCCCUCCUCGGAGAAGCAGACAAGCCCACUCGACGACCUUCACCCCACCCUCCUGGAUGGCAGAAAGGACCACUCAGCUGUGAAGCUAUUGGAUUCCAAGCAAGGAGAUAUAGGGACUUCACUUCCCCUGCAAGAAGUGGAAGGAGAGAUGAACAAACGUUUCCUGAAAAGAUGACCCCCCAAAGUUUCUCUGUCGGAACACAACAGAAAUAAGCGCCCAGGGUUACUCGCGGGGAGUCCAAUUGUCCAACAAGGGCACCCGACGUUCAGCAAGAGAGUCAAGGGAAAGUGAAGGGUCAGAGGCAAGACCACCUCACCACGUCCCCAGUCCGCACCCCCUAGUAGCAGCGGAAGCCCCACAGUCCGCCCCCACUCCCAGCUCCCACAAUAGGAGGGGGAGGCCAAUACCUACAGUGGUUUGAGCCAUUCCAAAGCGGAGUCCGGAGCGGAGUGGAGUAGGGGCCGGGAGCAGGGAGCCCCUUCUCCGGAAGCAAACAGGCCCGGUUCUGGUUAUAAAAAUCCACCACCAGGAAGGGAUUGGGGGUGGGGGUGAGCCCCCCCACGUCCACACUCUCGUACAUCUUCCCCGCGAAUACAAGAGGUCCGGGCGGGGAAGUCCUGCGCGCCGCCUCCCUCACUCAGUCGGCGGCGCCAUCCAAGAGCUGCUGGGGGCGAGGGGCACGUCCCCCCC